UUUCAGGUUGGUGAAGGUUAUGAAGAAUUUACGUCUGAGGAAGUGACCGACCGAUUUUUAUGUGCUGUAUUUUUUUGUUUUGGUUUUGCCGAGGUAUUGGAUGGAAGACUGAGUAAAGGUUUGAGGUUAUGGGGUGACUGACUUUGUUAGAGGCAGCGAGUAGAAGGAAUUAAUGUUGUAAGGUAUAUGAAGGUGAGGACUAAUUGGCGGCUGAUUGAAUCAAUGAUUGUUGUGUAGAGGCAGAGUGUGAUGAUGUUUUAGCGGGAAGACUGACUGAGUGAAGGGAGCUGUUAGUGCUUUAUUUAAAGUUAAUAGAGAUGGAGGACGAGAGUUUUUGAUAUGGUGAUUGAUUUGUACUGAUUAGCAGAGGCGGAGAGAAUUGAGGAGCUAAUAGUGAAAAGUUUUUGGAAGCGUGCGUGGCGGUGAUGGCGGCAGCAACAGCGGCGUUGGUCAAUUUGAUGUAGAUCAUGUUAGAGGGAGGGAAUUAAUCAAUUAUUAGACUAUUUGAAGAUAAUUAGUUAUUGAAUGUAAGUGAGGUAUAAUAGGUUUUGGUGAAUUGUGGAGUGAGCAUUAUGAAAGCCAUAUUGACUUUAAUCACUGAAGGAGUGAAGAUACUGCUGGUGUCCAGACCAAGUUUAGACUAAUAGCUACAAACAUAAUUAAUGAUGAAGGUCGCAUCCCAGACUUUUCAUUGUUAAUAUGACUGCAAGUGUAUAUAUAAUGUGGGAGUUUAUAUACGUUUGUGGUGUUUGAGUCAUUACGUUGAGGCUUGUGUUUUGGAAAUACCGGGUAUUCAUGUACUCUGGAUGGGUUUAUUUGUCGCUGUGAAAUGGUUAGUAACAUUGUUUGUGAAACAUGAUAUCAAUAAAUAGAUUAGUUAUGUUUUGUAGGGUUUAUUAUAAUGAAGGGGAAGUUGUAGGAUUAUAGAGCUUGUGGGAAAUUUAGUUUCGAUUCAAUUCACAAAAUGAAGAAACGUUAUAUGAGGCAUAUAUAUGAUAUAUUGUAAUGAAAUUUUGUAAUAAAAAAAAAAAAAUAUUUGUAUUUUUUGUGUAUUUGAAAAUUGUUGAGAAUGUUAAAAAGUCAAUUAUUUGUUAUGGAAAUUGACCAAUGAAAUAUUAGAUUUAGUUAUCUAGAGAAAUUUGAAAUUAAACAUUAUGAAAAUGUUUGUUAAAAUAGAAAAAAAAAAUAAUUAGCAUUAAUGGAAUGUGAAGAAUUUGUAAAAGAUAUUUAAAAUGAUAGAAUUAAUUGAAUAAGUUUAAUAGUCAAUAUAUUUUUUUGUUAUUUUUUUUUUUUUGCACAAUAUUGUAUUCAAAGUAAUGAAUGUCAUGAGAAUAAUGAAGUGGAAAUGUCAUAUGUGAAUAGAGAAAUUAAUUUUGAGAUUAGGUGCAGUAUUAGCAAUGGUAAAUUAAAAGUUAAUAUUACAGCAAAUGAUUUUUAGUAAUGAGGCCAAAAAUGACGACAAUAAAUUGAAAUAACAUGUUUGAAGCAAAUAAACAUACUGAGAAUGUUUUGUAAUAAAAGAUAGAAAUGAUCAAAAUAGGAAUUGAAUGUUUAAUUGAAAUAGAUAUGAUGACUGACAAUAAGAAAUUAUUAUAAUGAAGGGGGAAGUGCCCAACCUGGAGAAUUAUA